rnacentral:rRNA from 1 species
UACGUAGGGUGCGAGCGUUAAUCGGAAUUACUGGGCGUAAAGCGUGCGCAGGCGGCUUUGCAAGACAGAUGUGAAAUCUCCGGGCUUAACCCGGAAAGGUCAGCCGAUACUGCGGGGCUAGAGUGCAGGAGGGGCAACUGGAAUUCUCGGUGUAGCGGUGAAAUGCGUAGAUAUCGAGAGGAACACCUGCGGCGAAGGCGGGUUGCUGGGCUGACACUGACGCUGAUGCGCGAAAGCUAGGGGAGCGAACGGG